UACGUAGGGUGCAAGCGUUGUCCGGAAUUAUUGGGCGUAAAGAGCUCGUAGGUGGCGGGUCACGUCGGCUGUGAAAUCCCGAGGCUCAACCUCGGGUCUGCAGUCGAUACGGGCAAACUGGAGUACUGCAGGGGAGACUGGAAUUCCUGGUGUAGCGGUGAAAUGCGCAGAUAUCAGGAGGAACACCUGCGGUGUAGACGGCUUACUGGACGGUAACUGACGCUGAGGCACGAAAGCGUGGGUAGCAAACAGG
rnacentral:rRNA from 1 species